rnacentral:rRNA from 1 species
GACGAACGCUGGCGGCGUGCUUAACACAUGCAAGUCGAACGGAAAGGCCCUGCUUUUGUGGGGUGCUCGAGUGGCGAACGGGUGAGUAACACGUGAGUAACCUGCCCUUGACUUUGGGAUAACUUCAGGAAACUGGGGCUAAUACCGGAUAGGAGCUCCUGCUGCAUGGUGGGGGUUGGAAAGUUUCGGCGGUUGGGGAUGGACUCGCGGCUUAUCAGCUUGUUGGUGGGGUAGUGGCUUACCAAGGCUUUGACGGGUAGCCGGCCUGAGAGGGUGACCGGCCACAAUGGGACUGCGGUACGGCCCAGACUCCUACGGGAGGCAGCAGUGGGGAAUAUUGCACAAUGGGCGGAAGCCUGAUGCAGCAACGCCGCGUGCGGGAUGACGGCCUUCGGGUUGUAAACCGCUUUCGCCUGUGACGAAGCGUGAGUGACGGUAAUGGGUAAAGAAGCACCGGCUAACUACGUG